AUUGAACGCUGGCGGCAGGCCUAACACAUGCAAGUCGAGCGGAUGAAGGGAGCUUGCUCCUGGAUUCAGCGGCGGACGGGUGAGUAAUGCCUAGGAAUCUGCCUGGUAGUGGGGGAUAACGUCCGGAAACGGGCGCUAAUACCGCAUACGUCCUGAGGGAGAAAGUGGGGGAUCUUCGGACCUCACGCUAUCAGAUGAGCCUAGGUCGGAUUAGCUAGUUGGUGGGGUAAAGGCCUACCAAGGCGACGAUCCGUAGCUGGUCUGAGAGGAUGAGCAGUCACACUGGAACUGAGACACGGUCCAGACUCCUACGGGAGGCAGCAGUGGGGAAUAUUGGACAAUGGGCGAAAGCCUGAUCCAGCCAUGCCGCGUGUGUGAAGAAGGUCUUCGGAUUGUAAAGCACUUUAAGUUGGGAGGAAGGGCAGUAAGUUAAUACCUUGCUGUUUUGACGUUACCAACAGAAUAAGCACCGGCUAACUUCGUG
rnacentral:rRNA from 1 species